rnacentral:rRNA from 1 species
GAUGAACGCUGGCGGCGUGCCUAAUACAUGCCAGUCGAGCGAACAGACGAGGAUCUUGCUCCUCUGACGUUAGCGGCGGACGGGUGAGUAACACGUGGAUAACCUACCUAUAAGACUUGGAUAACUUCGGGAAACCGGAGCUAAUACCGGAUAAUAUAUUGAACCGCAUGGUUCAAUAGUGAAAGACGGUUUUGCUGUCACUUAUAGAUGUAUCCGCGCCGCAUUAGCUAGUUGGUAAGGUAACGGCUUACCAAGGCAACGAUGCGUAGCCGACCUGAGAGGGUGAUCGGCCACACUGGAACUGAGACACGGGCCAGACUCCUACAGGAGGCAGCAGUAGGGAAUAUUCCGCAAUGGGCGAAAGCUUGACGGAGCAACGCCGCGUGAGUGAUGAAGGUCUUCGGAUCGUAAAACUCUGUUAUUAGGGAAGAACAAAUGUGUAAGUAACUAUGCACGUCUUGACGGUACCUAAUCAGAAAGCCACGGCUAACUACGUG